GGCUCGGUAGCACAACGGUAGUGCGUCUGACUCCAGAUCAGAAGGUUGUGGGUUCGAAUCCCGUCUGGGUCA
rnacentral:tRNA from 1 species